AGACCCCACUCCCCUCCCUCAUCCUGUCCCCGAGCCCCCCGGGGACCCCUCCCGAGCCCCCCGGGACCCCUCCCGAGCCCCCCGGGGCACCUGGAUGCCCGAGACGGUGAAAUAGGGGAUCUCGAAGCGGACGGCGAUGGGCGGCCGCCCCUCCUCCUCCUCCUUCUCCACGCUGGGCAGCCCGAAGUGGGCGCGCAUCAGGUGCUCCUUCCCCCCCUGCGACCCCCCAGCGGCUCGUGGGGACCCCCGCGGCCACCCCCACAUUUUGGGGGGGACACGGGGGGACACCCUGGGACAGGGGCUGGGGGUCCCCAGGAUGGGUGGACAGGGUUGGGGGGCUCAGGGGACACCCCAGGACAGGGUUGGGGGUCCCCAGGCCGGGCUGCUCACGGGGAAGGAUUUGAUGCUCCAGAUGACCACGUUCCUCUCGGGGAGGUACCGCGCCGACCCCACCGUGGUCUUGAAUUUCGGGGAGUCGGCGUCGCUGGGCACCGGCACCGAGAUCUCCACCCCGUUGGCCACCGACUGCUUCUUGAACUGGCCCUUGGCCUGGGGGGGCACACGGGGGGUGGCAGGGGCCGGCCGGGGGUCCCUGGGGGGCUGGGGGGACGCCCGGGCUCACCUUGACCAUGAUCUCCACCCGGCUGUGGGAGAACUUCUCGAUGAUGGACUCGAUCCAGAUGAGCGGCUUCACCUGGGGGGGGGGGCACAGGGGUCACCCCUGGGGGUCCCCAGGGGUCCCCAUCACCCCAGGAGGGGUCCUGACCACACGGACAGAGGUGCUGGACACACGGAAAGGGGUCACAACCCCAGGGAAGAGGGUCCCAGCCCCUCAGAAUGUGGCCCCGAAACCCCCAGAGUGGGUUUGCAGCCCCCAGCCCGGGUUUGCAGCCCCCAGAGUAGGUUUGCAGCCCCCAGAUUGAAUUUGCAGCCCCCAGAGUGGGUUUGCAGCCCCUAGCCCGGGUUUUAUAGCCCCCAGCCCAGGUUUACAGCCCCUGGGCUGGGUUUGCAGCUCCCCAGGCCAGGUUUGCAGCCCCCAGAUUGAAUUUGCAGCCCCCAGGCCGAGUUUGCAGCCCCCAGGCCGGGUUUGCAGCCCCCAGAUUGAAUUUGCAGCCCCCAGGCCGGGUUUGCAGCCCCCAGAGUGAAUUUGCAGCCCCCAGGCCGGGUUUGCAGCCCCCAGAAGGGGGUCCCAGCCCCACAGGUGGCCCCACCUGGGUGUGCAGGCGGUAGGACAUGAGCUCGAAGUCGCCGUCGGGGGGGAUGAAGGAGAUGGUGCGGUCGUUGUCGAAGCGGGACAGACGGACGCACUGGUGGAACUUCACGUCCUCCAGCUCCACCGACUUGUUCUUCCCCCCUGGAAGGGAGCGGGGGGGCUCAGGAGGGAUUUGGGGGGGACGGGGCCGAGCCCCCCGCCCCGGCACUCACGGCCCGUCAGCUCGAAGAGGACGCGGUCGUUGAGGCCCAGGCGCAGCUCCGGCAUUCCCGACAGGAAAACCUUCAGCUUGAUGGUGCCCAGCACCUCGCUCAGCACCACGCUGCCGCUGGCGCUCACCUGCGGCACGGCCCGGCGGGGAGCUGGCGCCGGCUCCAGCCCGGCCCCCGGCCCGGCCCAUUGCUAGAGCCCCGUCAGCACCGCCUUCCUCGUCCCGGGCACAUCCCACCCCAAUCCGCCUCCAUUGCCACCCCAAUCCGCCUCCAUUCCCACC
ensembl:lncRNA